GGCUGCUCCGAAGGUAGUGAGUUAUCUCACUUGAUUGUUCAUUUACAGAUUGAACGCCUUGUUUUACUCAUUCCCUCCCUUCUCACUACUGCACUUGACUAGUCCUUA
ensembl:misc_RNA Y_RNA Y RNA